rnacentral:rRNA from 1 species
ACGAUCGGUGACAGGUGGUGCGAUGGUUGUCGUCAGCUCGUGUCGUGAGAUGUUGGUUAAGUCCCGCAACGAGCGCAACCCCUAUUGUUAGUUGCCAUCAUUCAGUUGGGCACUCUAGCGAGACUGCCGGUAAUAAACCGGAGGAAGGUGGGGAUGACGUCAAAUCAUCAUGCCCCUUAUGACCUGGGCUACACACGUGCUACAAUGGUUGGUACAACGAGUUGCGAGUCGGUGACGGCGAGCUAAUCUCUUAAAGCCAAUCUCAGUUCGGAUUGUAGGCUGCAACUCGCCUACAUGAAGUCGGAAUCGCUAGUAAUCGCGGAUCAGCACGCCGCGGUGAAUACGUUCCCGGGCCUU